CCCGGAGCGGGGGGGCGGGCCCGGACUGGACUGGGGGGUCCCGGUCGGACUGGGGAGGGGUCCCGGUGUCGUCUGGGGGGUCCCGGCCCGGAGCGGGGGGGCGGGCCCGGUUUGGGAGGUUUGGGGGGUCCAGGCGAAAAUUUGGGGUCCUGGCCUGGUUUGGGAGGUCCUGGCCUGGACUGGGGAGUCCCUGUGGGUGCAGCCCCUAGCGGGGAGUGCAGAAUUUUGGGGAGGUCCCCUUGGGCACAGACCCUAGAGGGGAGUGCAGGAUUUUGGGGUCCCCUUGUGUGUAGCCCCUUCAGGGCAGUGCAGAAUUUUGGGGGGGUCUCCUUGGGUGCUGCCCUUAGAGGAGAGUGCAGGAUUUUGGGGUCCUCUUGGGUGCAGCCCAUAGAAAGGAGUGCAGAAUUUUGGCAGGUCCCUACGGGUGCAGCCCCUGCAGGGCAGUGCAAGAUUUUGGGGUCCCCUUGGGUGCAGCCCCUGCAGGGCAGUGCAAGAUUUUGGGGUCCCCUUGGGUGCAAGGCAGUGCAGGAUUUUGGGGGAGUCCCUUUGAGUGCAGCCCCUGCAAGGCAGUGCAGGAUUUUGGGGGGUCCCUUUAGGUGCAGCCCUUAGAAGGGAGUGCUGGAUUUUGGGGUUCCCUUGGGUGCAGGGCAGUGCAGGAUUUGGGGUCCCCUUGGGUGCAGUGCAGUGCAAGAUUUUGGGGCAUCCUUUUAGCUGAAGCCCUUAGAGGGCAGUGCAGGACUUUGGGGGUCCCAGCCUUUAGAAGGGUGUGCAGGAUUUUGGGGUGUCCCUUUGAGUGCAGUCCCUUGAAGGCAGUGCAGGAUUUUGGGGGGGUCCCUUUAGGUGCAGCCCUUAGAAGGGAGUGCUGGAUUUUGGGGUCCCCUUGGGUGCAGCCCCUUCAGGGCAGUGCAGGAUUUUGGGGGGGUCUCCUUGGGUGCAGCCCUUAGAAGGGAGUGCUGGAUUUUGGGGGGGUCCCUUUAGGUGCAGCCCUUAGAAGGGAGUGCUGGAUUUUGGGGUCCCCUUGGGUGCAGGGCAGUGCAGGAUUUUGGGGUCCCCUUGGGUGCAGCCCUUGGGGUUGCUCUGUAGAACUCGGGGCCCCCCAGGGUGUCGCCUCUCGCAGGUUUUGGGGGUCCCCCGAGGUGUUCCCUUUGAGGGGGGCUUUUGCUGCGUUUUGGGGUUCAUUCGCCUGUGCUAGCAGGGUUUGGGGGUAAUUAAUCACUGCAGGAGAGGGUCCUCAAGAGGUUUGGGGGGCUUUGGUACCCCCAGAAAUCAGGGGGAGGUGUUGGGGUGCCCCGAGGAGCCCCUGGCUUGGGGUGACUCAGGAACCUCAUUUUUGGGGUGACAUUGAAGACCCUGUUUUGGGGUAACUCUGAGCCCCACCGGUUUGGGGGUGACCCCGAGGCCUCCUGGUUUUGGGGGUGACCCCUGCAAGCCCCUUUUCGGGGUGCCCCCAAGCACCCCCACAUUUGGGAGUGCCCCAAACCCCGCUUUUGCCGUAUCCCCAAGACACCCCCAUUUCUGAGUACCCCCUGACCCCGCCCCCGUUUUUGGGGUGACCCUGAGGACCCCCCGUUUUUGGGGGUGACCCGGUGGCCGUUUCGGGGUGCCGGGGCCAUGGCGUGGGCGCUGAAGCUGCCGCUGGCGGACGAGGUGAUCGAGUCGGGGCUGGUGCAGGAUUUCGACGCCAGCCUCUCGGGCAUCGGGCAGGAGCUGGGUGCUGGCGCCUACAGCAUGAGCGACGUCCUGGCCCUGCCCAUCUUCAAGCAGGAGGAGUCCAGCCUGCCUCCCGAGAGCCAGGACAAGCUGCUGCCCUUCCAGUACGUGCUGUGCGCCGCCACCUCGCCCGCCGUCAAGCUGCACGACGAGACCCUCACCUACCUCAACCAAGGUCAAUCCUAUGAGAUCCGGAUGUUGGACAACAGGAAACUCGGGGAGCUGCCCGAGAUCAACGGGAAGCUGGUCAAGAGCAUCUUCCGGGUGGUUUUCCACGACCGGCGGCUGCAGUACACGGAGCACCAGCAGCUGGAGGGCUGGAGGUGGAACAGACCUGGCGACAGGAUCCUGGACAUAGAUAUCCCGAUGUCCGUGGGCAUCAUCGACCCCCGCGCGAACCCGACCCAGCUCAACACCGUGGAGUUCCUGUGGGACCCCUCCAAGAGGACCUCGGUGUUCAUCCAGGUGCACUGCAUCAGCACGGAGUUCACGCUGCGCAAGCACGGCGGCGAGAAGGGCGUUCCCUUCCGCGUGCAGAUCGACACCUUCCGCGAGAACGAGAGCGGCGAGUACACCGAGCACCUGCACUCCGCCAGCUGCCAGAUCAAGGUGUUCAAGCCCAAAGGAGCGGACCGGAAGCAGAAGACGGACCGGGAGAAGAUGGAGAAGCGAACGCCGCACGAGAAGGAGAAGUACCAGCCCUCGUACGAGACCACCAUCCUGACCGAGUGCUCGCCCUGGCCCGAGGUCACCUACGUGCCCAACGCGCCCUCGCCCGGCUUCAACAGCUCCCACAGCAGCUUCUCCAUCGGGGACGGCAGCGGGUCCCCGAGCCACCAGCCAGACCCCCCUGCGCCCCUGGCUGACACGCUGCUGCCCACCUGGAGCCCGCAGGAGGCUCAGCAGUGGCUGCACCGCAACCGCUUCUCCACCUUCUCACGGCUCUUCAGGAACUUCUCAGGGGCAGACCUGUUGAAGCUGACACGGGAGGACGUGAUCCAGAUCUGCGGCCCCGCCGAUGGCAUCCGGCUCUUCAACGCCCUCAAGGGCAGGAUGGUGCGGCCCCGCCUGACCAUCUACGUGUGCCAGGAGUCACAGCAGGUGAGGGAGCCCCAGCACGAGCACGAGGACGGCGAUGGAGGCAGCGGCACCUUCUUUGUGUACCACGCCGUGUACCUGGAGGAGCUGACGGCGGCCGAGCUGGCAGAGAAGCUGGCACAGCUGUUCCGGGUGCCCGCCCAGCACAUCCAGCACAUCUACAAACAGGGCCCCACGGGCAUCCACGUGCUGGUCAGCGACCAGAUGAUCCAGAACUUCCAGGAUGAAUCCUGCUUCGUCCUGGACACCCUGAAAGCCGAGACCAACGACAGCUACCACAUCAUCCUGAAAUAGGGACAGGUGAGGGGCAGGUGAGGAGCACCUGCGGCCUCUCAGCACACCUGGACACCCUCCACGCCCAGCACGAGGACACAGCAGAGAGCUGGGAACCCCCAGGUGUGCUCACCUGGCCAUCCCCCCUCGCAAUGAACUCCUGGACAUCUUCUGGAGACCCCCCAGGUGUGGCCACCUGGCCACACCCCCUCAUAAUGAACACCUGGAGAGCCCCCAGGUGUUGUUACCUGGCCACCACCCUUGAAAGGAACACCUGGACACCUUCUGGAGAUCCCCCAGGUGUGGCCCACCACCCUCCAAAGGAACACCUGGAGAGGCCCCAGGUGUGCUCACCUGGCCACCCCCCCUUCGAAAAGAACACCUGGAAAGCUUCUGGAGACCCCCCAGGUGUUUCUACCUGGUCGCCCCCUCUCGCAGUGAACACCUGGAGAGCCCCCAGGUGUGGUCACCUGGCCACCCCCCCCCCUUGCAAUGAACACCUGGAGAGCCCCCCAGGUGUUGUUACCUGGACACUCUCCUUGGAAUGGAACACCUGGAAAGCCUCUGGAGACCCCUCAGAUGGGGUCACCUGGCCACCCAACCUCAAAAGGAACACCUGGACACCUUCUGGAGCCCCCCCCCCCCAGGGGUGGUCACCUGGCCAACCUCCUCACAGGGAACACCUGGAGCAGCCCCAGGUGUGGUGACCUGGUCACACCCCUCAAAAGGAACACCUGGAGACCCCCCAGGUGUGGUCACCUGGCCACUCCCCUCCCUGGGAACACCUGGAGCAGCCCCAGGUGUGGUGGCCUGGCAGCCCUGCCCUCAGGUGCCUCCUGGCAUGGACAGGGGGCUGCUCCUCUGCUGCAGCUCUGGGGCACCAGGUGUGCUCCCACCUGGCCCAGGUGUUGCCUCCAGGUGGGUGCAGGUGUGGUCUCGUGAGGUCAUCAAGAAUUCCGGAUUUAAUUAUGGAAAAUUGGAGGAUAAAGGGAUAACUGGGGAUGGGGGGAGGGCAGGGGGCAUUGCUGGGUGGUUUUGGGGAGAAAAGCAAAGAUUUGGCUCUUUCUGCUGAAUGUGUGCAGUGAUUGAAGCGGCUCUGGGCAGGUGUGCAGGUGAGGGAUGUGCCCAGGGGUGGGAGGUGACCCCAGGUCCCCCAGACCUGGAUGCUCCAGGUGACACCAGCUCAGCCCAUCAGGUGUUUCAGGCAAACAAAAAACAGGAGAAAAGACAAUAAACCCCAAGGAUUUGAUUCAAUAAAGCCGGGGUGGGAUCCAGGUGUGGCAGGUGAUGGCUCAGGUGACACCUGGGACAGUCUGACAGUGCAGGGGGGCAGCACCACCCCAGGACUGAGCAGCACCCCCAGAAUCACCCCAAACAUCUCCCCAGAACCAUCCCCAGGACCACACAAAAAUCACUCAAAACCACCCCCAAGAA